rnacentral:rRNA from 1 species
UACAGAGGGUGCGAGCGUUAAUCGGAAUUACUGGGCGUAAAGCGUGCGUAGACGGUUGUGUAAGUCGGAUGUGAAAGCCCCGGGCUCAACCUGGGAAUGGCAUUCGAGACUGCAUAGCUAGGAUGCGGAAGAGGGAAGUGGAAUUUCCGGUGUAGCGGUGAAAUGCGUAGAUAUCGGAAGGAACACCAGUGGCGAAAGCGACUUCCUGGUCCAGCAUCGACGUUCAGGCACGAAAGCGUGGGGAGCAAACAGG